GUAAACACAGGGCGAUGAGCGGGGGUAAGUCGUGGUGGGCGGUGGUUGGACGGAAUGAUGUGGGUGAAGUAGCUCUGGGGUGGGUUGGCGGGUCGAGUGUGAAAACCUACAGCUUAACGUGGGGCGUGCAGGCGAUACGGGCAGACUUGAGUUCGGUAGGGGAGACUGGAAUUCCUGGUGUAGCGGGGAAAUGCGCAGAUAUCAGGAGGAACACCGGUGGCGAAGGCGGGUCUCUGGGCCGAUACUGACGCUGAGGAGCGAAAGCGUGGGGAGCGAACAGGAUUAGAUACCCUAGUAGUC
rnacentral:rRNA from 1 species